rnacentral:rRNA from 1 species
UACGUAGGGGGCUAGCGUUGUCCGGAUUUAUUGGGCGUAAAGAGCGUGUAGGCGGCCAGGUAGGUCUGGUGUGAAAACUCGAGGCUUAACCUCGAGAUGUCAUCGGAAACCAUUUGGCUAGAGUCCGGAAGAGGAGAGUGGAAUUCCUGGUGUAGCGGUGAAAUGCGCAGAUAUCAGGAAGAACACCAAUGGCGAAAGCAGCUCUCUGGGACGGUACUGACGCUGAGACGCGAAAGCGUGGGGAGCGAACGGG